UAUUGUGGUGGUUUCUCUGUGGCAGCUCUGUAACUGUGUCAGGGCUGCCUUAAACCACCACAGAGAUCAUAAGGGAGAAGGCUGUGCUGAGAACUUCUGCAAGCUUGUGGUUCUCAGCAUGUUGUUCAGCUCCUAUAUUA